rnacentral:rRNA from 1 species
AUGGGGAAACCGAGGCGAGAAAUUAUGUUCGACACGAUUGACAUAAGCAAGAUUGCAUGCCGGGACAGGGCUGGAGAGCGCGGCACUGAUAUCGCAGACACCAUGAAAAUGUUUGCUGAUAUGCAGAGGCGGAGGCCGGGAUUCCACCCUGUGGAAGAGACAGAGAACAAUGUAGUGCGCAGCCUGUUCUGGACAGAUUCCUUGUGUAAGAUGAAUUAUGAUCUAUAUGGAGAUUUCGUGUCUUUUGACACCACGUUCUCCACGAAUAUAUAUGGCUUGCCAUUUACACCAAUUAUAGGUGUCGACAACCACAGGUCGACCGUCCUGUUUGGAGUAGGCCUUUUGAAGGAUGAGAAAAUAGGGCCAUUCAAGUGGCUCCUAAGCACGUUUGUCGAGGCAAUGGGAGGUAAAGAGCCGAAAUACAUAAUAACAGACCAGGACCAGGCGAUGAAGACUGCAAUAAAGGAAGCUCUUCCGAGGACGAGGCACAGGUUCUGCUGGUGGCAUAUUAGGAAGAACCUGAAGGAAAAUAACGCAGCAGUGUUUGCGCAGCACCCAGGGAUGUCUGAUGAUAUAUUUCGAAUAGUCAAAAACUCACUAGAUCAAGACGAGUUUGAGUGUGCCUGGAAAGCAGCAAUUUCUCUGUACAAGGCGGAAGGCAACAAACACCUGAACACGCUAUGGGAACUCCGAAAUUUUUGGGUGCCGGCCUACUUCAAGGACUGUUUCUAUCCUUUCUCGUCAACAACCACUCACAGUGAGAGCACGAAUUCGAUGUGGAAGAAUUACGUCGACCACAAGGACACUAUAAAAAGGUUUGUUAAUGUGUAUCACAUGAUUCAGCAAAAUUGCCUCGCCACGCUUGACAAGAAAAGACACCGAACAGAAGAGAAGGCGCCAUCACUAGAGACGGGUUUUCCGAUUGAAAGACAAGCAAGUCAAAUUAUUGAGCCUGGAGAAAAAGUGUGGAAACCAUAUCCGGGCGAGGAAUUUGACAGGUCUGAGUUCAGGGUAGAUGUGGAUGAGCAAAAAGAAAUAUACAGUUGCACCUGCAAGAAAAUGAGUAGGGAUGGCAUUCAGUGCUGCCAUGUGCUUAAGGUGAUGGACCAAACAGGCAUGAUCAAUCAACUUCCAAAAUCUUUUGUCAUCCCCAGAUGGACCAGGAAUCUAUCAGAGAGUCUGAAAGUUCUGUCUACAAGUCAAGGUGAUAGCAUGACCAUACAAGACGAUGAAACUAUGAGAUUCGGCCUCGCUUACGCUGAGUUGUCGGAUAUUUGUUCAAAUGCUUGCAGAAAAGAGAAGGCAUACCGUGUGCUGCGUGAGUGUACGGAAGAUAUGAAAAUAAAAGUCAUGGCGGCACUUGCCGAGGAACCAGACACAAGCAUUCUUGCCGAAACACUCAAGAACCCUCCCAUGAGUGGCUCAAAGGGUACGAAAAAAGGAGAUCGAAUCAAAGCUGGUUCUGAGAAGAAAGGAAAAUGCAACAAAGCCGCAUCCAAGUGCGGCCGUUGUGGAGUAAAGGGUCACAGGAAAACAAACUGCCCGGAUAACCCAGAAGUCCAGGAGAGGAUGAGGAUUGAAGAGGAAAAGAGGAAAUCGCAGCAGGAGAAGAGGGCAAGGUCAAUGAAAUGGCCGACAACAUCGACAACACCAUCGGGGACAUCAAACUGCUUAGGACAAUGCACUCCAAGCCCAGGAGGAAGACGUCAGACGCCAGCAACUCCAACGACCCCACUGACAGCAGGGAGCAUUUACGAAAGUCUUGCAUCUACGCCAAAAUCAAACAUCACACAAGCCAGGCAAACAGAAUGCGUACAGGGAAGCCCAGGACAAGGCACGGAAUCUGCGCCGUCCAUUUUUAGAAAGGAAAGGUCUGAGUGGAGACUUUUUGGUACCGAAGAACAGUACGAAUAG